rnacentral:lncRNA from 1 species
CUGGGCGUUCGGAUAUUCGGGUCGGGUUCGGGUCGGGUUUUUCGGGUUCGGGUUUUUCGGGUUUAGAAAACUAAGACCCGUUCGGGUAUUUUAAAACUUCGGCUUCGGAUCGGAUUCGGAUCGGGUUCGGAUCGGGUAUUUCGGGUUCGGAUUCGGGUUUACCCGAAGUAUCCAAAUAUUUAAAAAUUUGUAUCUGAUUCUAUGAAAAGUAUUGAAAAUACUCAGAAAAUCUAUAAAUUUUAACUAUUUUAUACCCUAAUCUAACCAAAAGUAGCUAAAACACCCGAAAAUAUCUUAACAUCCGAAUAAUUUAGACACUUAGACUAUUACAAGUAUAAAUAUUACUAAUAUAUUAUAGCUAUGUAUUUAUAUUUCGGAUAUGUUCGGGUACUUGUUCGGAUUCGAGUUCGGGUCGGGUUCGGGUUUGGGUUUUCGGG